CGUCUAUAUACGUAUAGCAUAUCAAUAAGCGGAGGAAAAGAAACUAACAAGGAUUCCCUUAGUAACGGCGAGUGAAGCGGGAAGAGCUCAAAUUUGAAAUCUUCAAGGUUCUACCUUGACGAAUUGUAGUUUAAAGAAGUGUUUUCUGUUAGAGGGGUAGCAAAAGUUCCUUGGAAUGGGACAUCAUAGAGGGUGAGAAUCCCGUAUUUGGUUAUUCUUUCUAGCUUUGUGAUACACUUUCAAAGAGUCGGAUUGUUUGGGAAUGCAGUCCAAAAUGGGUGGUAAAUUUCAUCUAAAGCUAAAUAUUGGCGACGAGACCGAUAGCGAACAAGUACCGUGAGGGAAAGAUGAAAAGAACUUUGAAAAGAGAGUUAAACAGUACGUGAAAUUGUCAAAAGGGAAGCGUUUGACACCAGUGUUGUUUUUCCGAAAAUCAAUUAAGAGUGGCUUGAUUUUAGUGUUGUAUUGACCUUAUCAGCUUUCUUCACUCUUUUUCGAGUCUUUCUUAAUGCACUUUUCGGUUAACGAAGUCAACAUCAAUUUCUUUUGUUGUAAAAGGGUAUUUGGAAGGUGGCUUUCUUUUCGGAGAAAGUGUUUAUAGCCUUAUACCUCUACAAUCGGAGAGAUUGAGGUCUGCAGCGUAGAUCCUUCGGGGCUAGAUACACUUGUGCUAAGUUAUAGCUUUUCAUAGACAACUUGUUGACUAUGUUUAGUCAUGUAGCUUACUCGCUUGUGCUAUUUUACCUACGCUUAGGAUGUUGAGUCAUCACACAUCUCU
rnacentral:rRNA from 1 species